UACGUAGGGUGCGAGCGUUAAUCGGAGUUACUGGGCGUAAAGCGUGCGCAGGCGGUUCGUUAAGUCAGAUGUGAAAGCCCCGGGCUCAACCUGGGAACUGCAUUUGAAACUGGCGGGCUUGAGUGUGGCAGAGGGGGGUGGAAUUCCGCGUGUAGCAGUGAAAUGCGUAGAGAUGCGGAGGAACACCGAUGGCGAAGGCAGCCCCCUGGGCCAACACUGACGCUCAGGCACGAAAGCGUGGGGAGCAAACAGG
rnacentral:rRNA from 1 species